rnacentral:rRNA from 1 species
UUAUAUAUACGGGCGGAAAGAAACCAACAGGGAUUGCCCCAGUAGCGGCGAGUGAAGCGGCAAAAGCUCAGAUUUGGAAUCGCUUCGGCGAGUUGUGAAUUGCAGGUUGGCGCCUCUGCGGCGGCGGCGGUCCAAGUCCCUUGGAACAGGGCGCCAUUGAGGGUGAGAGCCCCGUGGGACCGUUUGCCUACGCUCUGAGGCCCUUCUGACGAGUCGAGUUGUUUGGGAAUGCAGCUCUAAGCGGGUGGUAAAUUCCAUCUAAGGCUAAAUACUGGCGAGAGACCGAUAGCGAACAAGUACUGUGAAGGAAAGAUGAAAAGCACUUUGAAAAGAGAGUGAAACAGCACGUGAAAUUGUUGAAAGGGAAGGGUAUUGCGCCCGACAUGGAGCGUGCGCACCGCUGCCCCUCGUGGGCGGCGCUCUGGGCGUGCUCUGGGCCAGCAUCGGUUUUUGCCGCGGGAGAAGGGCGGCGGGCAUGUAGCUCUUCGGAGUGUUAUAGCCUGCCGCCGGCGCCGCGAGCGGGGACCGAGGACUGCGACUUUUGUCUCGGAUGCUGGCACAACGGCGCAACACCGCCCGUCUUGAAACAUGGACCAAGGAGUCUAACGUCUAUGCGAGUGUUUGGGUGUGAAACCCCGGGCGCGUAAUGAAAGUGAACGUAGGUCGGACCGCUCCUCUCGGGGGGCGGGCACGAUCGACCGAUCCUGAUGUCUUCGGAUGGAUUUGAGUAAGAGCAUAGCUGUGCACCCGAAAGACGAUC